rnacentral:rRNA from 1 species
UACAGAGGUCUCGAGCGUUGUUCGGAUUCAUUGGGCGUAAAGGGUGCGUAGGUGGCGCUGUAAGUCGGGUGUGAAAUCCUGAGGCUUAACCUCGGAACUGCAUUCGAUACUGCGGCGCUUGAGGACUGGAGAGGAGACUGGAAUUCAUGGUGUAGCAGUGAAGUGCGUAGAGAUCAUGAGGAAGACCAGUGGCGAAGGCGGGUCUCUGGACAGUUCCUGACACUGAGGCACGAAGGCCAGGGGAGCAAACGGG